rnacentral:rRNA from 1 species
GAUGAACGCUGGCGGCGUGCCUAAUACAUGCAAGUCGAGCGAACGGACGAGAAGCUUGCUUCUCUGAUGUUAGCGGCGGACGGGUGAGUAACACGUGGAUAACCUACCUAUAAGACUGGGAUAACUUCGGGAAACCGGAGCUAAUACCGGAUGAUAUUUUGAACCGCAUGGUUCAAAAGUGAAAGACGGUCUUGCUGUCACUUAUAGAUGGAUCCGCGCUGCAUUAGCUAGUUGGUAAGGUAACGGCUUACCAAGGCAACGAUGCAUAGCCGACCUGAGAGAGUGAUCGGCCACACUGGAACUGAGACACGGUCCAGAUUCCUACGGGAGGCAGCAGUAGGGAAUCUUCCGCAAUGGGCGAAAUCCUGACGGAGCAACGCCGCGUGAGUGAUGAAGGUCUUCGGAUCUUAAAACUCUGUUAUUAGGGAAGAACAUAUGUGUAAGUAACUGUGCACAUCUUGACGGUACCUAAUCAGAAAGCCACGGCUAACUACGUG